rnacentral:rRNA from 1 species
GCAUGAAGCUGGAAUCGCUAGUAAUCGCGGAUCAGAAUGCCGCGGUGAAUACGUUCCCGGGUCUUGUACACACCGCCCGUCACACCAUGAGAGUUGGCAAUACCCAACGUACGUGAUCUAACCCGCAAGGGGAGGAAGCGUCCUAAGGUAGGGUCAGCGAUUGGGGUGAAGUCGUAACAAGGUAAC